rnacentral:tRNA from 1 species
AGGGCAGUAGCUCAGUGGUAGAGCUCCCGCCUCGUAUGCAGGAGGACCAGGCUUUGAUUCCCGGUUGCUUAC